rnacentral:rRNA from 1 species
UACGAAGGGGGCUAGCGUUGCUCGGAAUUACUGGGCGUAAAGGGCGCGUAGGCGGACGACUAAGUCGGGGGUGAAAGCCCGGGGCUCAACCUCGGAAUUGCCCUCGAUACUGGUCAUCUUGAGUACGGGAGAGGUGUGUGGAACUCCGAGUGUAGAGGUGAAAUUCGUAGAUAUUCGGAAGAACACCAGUGGCGAAGGCGACACACUGGCCCGUUACUGACGCUGAGGCGCGAAAGCGUGGGGAGCAAACAGG